rnacentral:ncRNA from 1 species
GACCCGAAAGAUGGUGAACUAUGCCCGAUCAGGUAGAAGUCAGGGGAAACCCUGAUGGAGGACCGAGCAGUUCUGACGUGCAAAUCGACUGUCAGAAUUGGGCAUAGGGGCGAAAGACCAAUCUAACCAUCUAGUAGCUGG